CCCGCUCCUCCCAUUCCCCCCGCCCGCUCCUCAGAGCGCAGCCCGCUGCUCUCAUUGGCUGGAAGGGUGACAGCUGCGGUCGCUGAUUGGCUGGGUGUUCGCCAGCUGGAUCCGCCUCCCGCAGCUGAGGCGAAGCGCCUAAUUUGAGCCGGGAAAUCUCCUGAGGCGAGGCUGGGAGGGCAGCAGCGGGAAGGGGGCUCUCAGCCCCACAUGCCCCAGCCCCGACCCCCACCGCUGGGGGAGAGCAGCGAAGCCGCAGCCCCAGACAGCCACCGACAGCAGGGAAAGCCCUCAACCUUGCCCUCUAUCUCGCGAAAGGAAGGGAAGGAGGAAUUCUCUGAGGGAAGGUUUUCCCUCACCAGAAGGAGGAGAAUUGAGAAUUCAUCUCUGAGGGGAGGCUGUCUUCAAGACACUCUUCAAGGAAGGGCUCUAUGUUCAGCCCUGGGCUUUACCUCACCAGAAGGAGGAGAAUUGAGAAUUCAUCUCUGAGGGGAGGCUGUCUUCAAGACACACUUCAAGGAAGGGCUCUAUGCAGAGCCUUGGGCUUUUUACCUCACCAGAAGGAGGAUAAUUGAGAAUUCAUCUCUGAGGGGAGGCUGUCUUCAAGACACUCUUCAAGGAAGGGCUCUAUGCAGAGCCUUGGGCUUUUUACCUCACCAGAAGGAGGAUAAUUGAGAAUUCAUCUCUGAGGGGAGGCUGUCUUCAAGACACACUGCAAGGAAGGGCUCUAUGCUCGGCUUUGGUCUUUACCUCACCAGAAUAAUAAUUGUCAAUCUGCCUCAGGAAAAGGAGGAAACCACUUAAGCCAUGCUACUCUGCUAGGAUAUUGCUUUAAAGAAAUUCUUUGUGGGAGAAUGGCAGGAAUAUGGUCUUCAAGACCCAUUCCAAAAACUAGUUUCUGAGGGGAAGUGGAGUUUCUGAGUGGGGAGUUCAUCUCUCUGCUUGGGCUUCAUCCUGCCAAAAGAACUCAAACAAACCCCCUCUGAGGAUGCUGCAGCCGUGCUGACGUGUACAGAAGCCCGGCCACCUCACUGCCCACAUUUAUAGCAUUUUGUCUGCAGAGGGCAAAACGCGACAGAUUCUCCCCGUCCUCAGAACACUGGGGCGCCACAGUCUUCUGCAUCACGGUGAAAACCUGUCCACUAUUAGAGCGUUCUUUCUCUCUGCAUACAAAUGCUAUAAAUGUGGACAGCACAAGGCCGGACUUCUGAGCGCAACGGCACAGGGGCUGCAGCAGAGAAUUCCAUGAGGCCAGGGGCUGUGUAACUACAGACUGGCCAAUUUAGUCUGAGAAAACUGGGUGUGACUGAGUUUUUUUAAAUUCUCCUGACAGUUGUGUAAGGCAGCAUAAUUCCUAACAUAGUGGCUGGCUUGUAUGGAACACCCUCCAUGCGCUUUAGAAGCUUGAGGCUUCUAGAUAUUUGCAACACCUUUCUGAGGCAACAUAGUCUCCAGUUUUCCAGCAGGCAUGUAUGGAACAUGCUUCAUGCAUGUUAGAAGCUCCAGGCUUCUUAAAAUGCUGGCUCUGAGCAGGAAAUUAGAAAGACAAUAAACACAAUGCAGUAUAAUUGUAUAUUAUACAAUUGAUGGAACAGAACAACAUGCUUCAUGCAUGUUAGAAGCUUCAGGCUUCUUGAUUCUCCAGACAACUCUACAUACACUCUAAGAUGGUGGCAGCCUUUAAUGGAAUAUGCUAGUGUGGUGUAGUAGUUAGAGUGCUGGACUAUGGACCGGGGAGACCUGAGUUCAAAUCCCCAAUCAGCCAUGAUACUUUCUGGGUGACUCUGGGCCAGUCAUUUCUCCCUCAGCCUAGACACAGGGUUGUUGUGAAAGAGAAACUUAAGUAUGUAGUACACUGCUCUGGGCUCCUUGGAGGAAGAGCGGGAUAUCAAUUUAAUAAUAAUGAUGAUAAUGCGUGUUAAAUUCUCUCCUCUCGACAACGCUACGUGGCAAAUUUGUCAAGAAGAAACAGAGUCGGCCCAUGUGUCAAUGACCUCCGUGCCUGAGUGGUGCUUUCAGAUCAUUUUUCCUCCCAGAAGGCCAGUGUGGCAGCUUCCAAGAAAGAACGCAAGGAGAGCACGUCAUACGAGCCAAGAAGAAAUUGAAAGUCCCCAACCUCCCGCAUGAGAAACCAAACCAGGACCUGUGUCGAAGCUUCAGGUUUCUUUAUUGUCCCAAGAAUAUCAAUGAGAAUAGUUCUCUAGGCAGCACACAACACAACAUUACACAACAUGUAAUCGAAACACAUAGAACACAACAAACAUAUCACAUCACACAACAGCAGCUGUGGCAGGCAGCAUCGCCUCUAAGGUGGUGACUGCUGUUCAUGGGACAUGCUUCAUGCAUGUUACAAGCUACAGUUGGAUUAGGCAAGAAGCGGCAGAAUGGGCAGACAUUUCCCUAGGACCUUCAUGUGCAGUGUUCACGUUCAAAUGCCUUUAUUACGGGCUUUGACCAUCCAACUAGAAAGACAAUAGACGCUAUGAACAACGCAAUAGAAUGGCAUAUUAUAUCCUCCGUGGAACAGAACAACAUGCUUCAUGCGUGUUAGAAGCUUCACGCUUCUUGAUUCUCCCUCCCAACAGCUCUUUGUUAGGCUACAUACACUCUAGGAUGGUGGCAGCCUUUAAUGGAAUACGCUUCAUGCAUGUUCCAUUCUGUCCUCUCGACAACGCUUCGUGGCAAAUCUGGCAAGAAGAAACAGAGUCGGCCCAUGUGUCUCAAUGACCUCCGUGCCCGAGCGGUGCUUUCGGACCAUUUUCUCCUCCCACAAGGCCAGCGUGGCAGCUUCCAAGAAAGAACGCAAGGAGAGCACGUCAUACGAGCCAAGAAGAAAUUGAAAGUCCCCAACCUCCCGCAUGAGAAACCAAACCAGGACCUGUGUCGAAGCUUCAGGCUUCUUUCUUGUCCCAAGAAUAUCAAUGAGAAUAGUUCUCUAGGCAGCACACAACACAACAUUCCACAACAUGUAAUCGAAACACAUAGAACACAACAAACAUAUCACAUCACACAACAGCAGCUGUGGCAGGCAGCAUCGCCUCUAAGGUGGUGACUGCUAUUCAUGGGACAUGCUUCAUGCAUGUUACAAGCUACAGUUGGAUUAGGCAAGAAGCGGCAGAAUGGGCAGACAUUUCCCUAGGACCCUCAUGUGCAGUGUUCACGUUCAAAUGCCUUUAUUACGGGCUUUGACCAUCCAACUAGAAAGACAAUAGACGCUAUGAAGAAGGCAAUAGAAUGGCAUAUUAUAUCCUCCGUGGAACAGAACAACACGCUUCAUGCGUGUUAGAAGCUUCAGGCUUCUUGAUUCUCCCUCCCAACAGCUCUUUGUUAGGCUACAUACACUCUAGGAUGGUGGCAGCCUUUAAUGGAAUACGCUUCAUGCAUGUUCCAUUCUGUCCUCUCGACAACGCUUCGUGGCAAAUCUGGCAAGAAGAAACAGAGUCGGCCCAAGUGUCCCAAUGACCUCCGUGCCCGAGUGGUGCUUUCGGACCAUUUUCUCCUCCCACAAGGCCAGCGUGGCAGCUUCCAAGAAAGAACGCAAGGAGAACACGUCAUACGAGCCAAGAAGAAAUUGAAAGUCCCCAACCUCCCGCAUGAGAAACCAAACCAGGACCUGUGUCGAAGCUUCAGGCUUCUUUCUUGUCCCAAGAAUAUCAAUGAGAAUAGUUCUCUAGGCAGCACACAACACAACAUUCCACAACAUGUAAUCGAAACACAUAGAACACAACAAACAUAUCACAUCACACAACAGCAGCUGUGGCAGGCAGCAUCGCCUCUAAGGUGGUGACUGCUGUUCAUGGGACAUGCUUCAUGCAUGUUACAAGCUACAGUUGGAUUAGGCAAGAAGCAGCAGAAUGGGCAGACAUUUCCCUAGGACCCUCAUGUGCAGUGUUCACGUUCAAAUGCCUUUAUUACGGGCUUUGACCAUCCAACUAGAAAGACAAUAGACGCUAUGAAGAAGGCAAUAGAAUGGCAUAUUAUAUCCUCCGUGGAACAGAACAACACGCUUCAUGCGUGUUAGAAGCUUCACGCUUCUUGAUUCUCCCUCCCAACAGCUCUUUGUUAGGCUACAUACACUCUAGGAUGGUGGCAGCCUUUAAUGGAAUACGCUUCAUGCAUGUUCCAUUCUGUCCUCUCGACAACGCUUCGUGGCAAAUCUGGCAAGAAGAAACAGAGUCGGCCCAAGUGUCCCAAUGACCUCCGUGCCCGAGUGGUGCUUUCGGACCAUUUUCUCCUCCCACAAGGCCAGCGUGGCAGCUUCCAAGAAAGAACGCAAGGAGAACACGUCAUACGAGCCAAGAAGAAAUUGAAAGUCCCCAACCUCCCGCAUGAGAAACCAAACCAGGACCUGUGUCGAAGCUUCAGGCUUCUUUCUUGUCCCAAGAAUAUCAAUGAGAAUAGUUCUCUAGGCAGCACACAACACAACAUUCCACAACAUGUAAUCGAAACACAUAGAACACAACAAACAUAUCACAUCACACAACAGCAGCUGUGGCAGGCAGCAUCGCCUCUAAGGUGGUGACUGCUGUUCAUGGGACAUGCUUCAUGCAUGUUACAAGCUACAGUUGGAUUAGGCAAGAAGCAGCAGAAUGGGCAGACAUUUCCCUAGGACCCUCAUGUGCAGUGUUCACGUUCAAAUGCCUUUAUUACGGGCUUUGACCAUCCAACUAGAAAGACAAUAGACGCUAUGAAGAAGGCAAUAGAAUGGCAUAUUAUAUCCUCCGUGGAACAGAACAACACGCUUCAUGCGUGUUAGAAGCUUCACGCUUCUUGAUUCUCCCUCCCAACAGCUCUUUGUUAGGCUACAUACACUCUAGGAUGGUGGCAGCCUUUAAUGGAAUACGCUUCAUGCAUGUUCCAUUCUGUCCUCUCGACAACGCUUCGUGGCAAAUCUGGCAAGAAGAAACAGAGUCGGCCCAAGUGUCCCAAUGACCUCCGUGCCCGAGUGGUGCUUUCGGACCAUUUUCUCCUCCCACAAGGCCAGCGUGGCAGCUUCCAAGAAAGAACGCAAGGAGAACACGUCAUACGAGCCAAGAAGAAAUUGAAAGUCCCCAACCUCCCGCAUGAGAAACCAAACCAGGACCUGUGUCGAAGCUUCAGGCUUCUUUCUUGUCCCAAGAAUAUCAAUGAGAAUAGUUCUCUAGGCAGCACACAACACAACAUUCCACAACAUGUAAUCGAAACACAUAGAACACAACAAACAUAUCACAUCACACAACAGCAGCUGUGGCAGGCAGCAUCGCCUCUAAGGUGGUGACUGCUGUUCAUGGGACAUGCUUCAUGCAUGUUACAAGCUACAGUUGGAUUAGGCAAGAAGCAGCAGAAUGGGCAGACAUUUCCCUAGGACCCUCAUGUGCAGUGUUCACGUUCAAAUGCCUUUAUUACGGGCUUUGACCAUCCAACUAGAAAGACAAUAGACGCUAUGAAGAAGGCAAUAGAAUGGCAUAUUAUAUCCUCCGUGGAACAGAACAACACGCUUCAUGCGUGUUAGAAGCUUCACGCUUCUUGAUUCUCCCUCCCAACAGCUCUUUGUUAGGCUACAUACACUCUAGGAUGGUGGCAGCCUUUAAUGGAAUACGCUUCAUGCAUGUUCCAUUCUGUCCUCUCGACAACGCUUCGUGGCAAAUCUGGCAAGAAGAAACAGAGUCGGCCCAAGUGUCCCAAUGACCUCCGUGCCCGAGUGGUGCUUUCGGACCAUUUUCUCCUCCCACAAGGCCAGCGUGGCAGGUAAGGCUCAGACUGCACCAAGAAAAAGAACUCUCCAGGUAUAGGAGAUAACCUGUCUUCCUUGGAGGCCUGUCAGCAGAGCCUGAAAGACCCUAGUUCUCAGCCUAGCUUUGAAAGAUAUUUCGUUCUGGUGUCCUCUACUUUUUAAUUGUCAUUUUUUGCCUACUAUUGAUUAGUUUUUGAUUUCAACAUUUUUAAUUAUUUUAAAAAAUGUAAACCGCCCUGAGCCACCUUUGGAAGGGUGGCAUAUAAAUCCAAUGAAUAUAUUAAUCACCUGGCGGGGUCAGGGGGGAUCCCUAGCUGAAUCACUGCAUUUAGUGAUGAGGUUCUUCAUGAGAAGACUGAAGAAUGUAUUCCUAAAAUGUCUAUUUGAUAUAUAUUAUACAUUAAUAGUCACAAGGUCAUAUAAACAUGAGACAAGCAUGAAGAAUCCCCCCCCCCCCCGAAAUCUAUUAGGUACUCCUUGUGCAAAAUGUCCUAUUGCCCUCAGUUCAGAAUGAAUGACACGGCCUGUUCUCUUCCAACAGCUUCCAAGAAAGAACGCAAGGAGAGCACGUCAUACGAGCCAAGAAGAAAUUGAAAGUCCCCAACCUCCCGCAUGAGAAACCAAACCAGGGCCUGUGUCGAAGCUUCAGGCUUCUUUCUUGUCCCAAGAAUAUCAAUGAGAAUAGUUCUCUAGGCAGCACACAACACAACAUUCCACAACAUGUAAUCGAAACACAUAGAACACAACAAACAUAUCACAUCACACAACAGCAGCUGUGGCAGGCAGCAUCGCCUCUAAGGUGGUGACUGCUGUUCAUGGGACAUGCUUCAUGCAUGUUACAAGCUACAGUUGGAUUAGGCAAGAAGCGGCAGAAUGGGCAGACAUUUCCCUAGGACCCUCAUGUGCAGUGUUCACGUUCAAAUGCCUUUAUUACGGGCUUUGACCAUCCAACUAGAAAGACAAUAGACGCUAUGAAGAAGGCAAUAGAAUGGCAUAUUAUAUCCUCCGUGGAACAGAACAACACGCUUCAUGCGUGUUAGAAGCUUCAGGCUUCUUGAUUCUCCCUCCCAACAGCUCUUUGUUAGGCUACAUACACUCUAGGAUGGUGGCAGCCUUUAAUGGAAUACGCUUCAUGCAUGUUCCAUUCUGUCCUCUCGACAACGCUUCGUGGCAAAUCUGGCAAGAAGAAACAGAGUCGGCCCAAGUGUCCCAAUGACCUCCGUGCCCGAGUGGUGCUUUCGGACCAUUUUCUCCUCCCACAAGGCCAGCGUGGCAGCUUCCAAGAAAGAACGCAAGGAGAGCACGUCAUACGAGCCAAGAAGAAAUUGAAAGUCCCCAACCUCCCGCAUGAGAAACCAAACCAGGACCUGUGUCGAAGCUUCAGGUUUCUUUAUUGUCCCAAGAAUAUCAAUGAGAAUAGUUCUCUAGGCAGCACACAACACAACAUUACACAACAUGUAAUCGAAACACAUAGAACACAACAAACAUAUCACAUCACACAACAGCAGCUGUGGCAGGCAGCAUCGCCUCUAAGGUGGUGACUGCUGUUCAUGGGACAUGCUUCAUGCAUGUUACAAGCUACAGUUGGAUUAGGCAAGAAGCGGCAGAAUGGGCAGACAUUUCCCUAGGACCUUCAUGUGCAGUGUUCACGUUCAAAUGCCUUUAUUACGGGCUUUGACCAUCCAACUAGAAAGACAAUAGACGCUAUGAACAACGCAAUAGAAUGGCAUAUUAUAUCCUCCGUGGAACAGAACAACAUGCUUCAUGCGUGUUAGAAGCUUCACGCUUCUUGAUUCUCCCUCCCAACAGCUCUUUGUUAGGCUACAUACACUCUAGGAUGGUGGCAGCCUUUAAUGGAAUACGCUUCAUGCAUGUUCCAUUCUGUCCUCUCGACAACGCUUCGUGGCAAAUCUGGCAAGAAGAAACAGAGUCGGCCCAUGUGUCUCUAUGACCUCCGUGCCCGAGCGGUGCUUUCGGACCAUUUUCUCCUCCCACAAGGCCAGCGUGGCAGCUUCCAAGAAAGAACGCAAGGAGAGCACGUCAUACGAGCCAAGAAGAAAUUGAAAGUCCCCAACCUCCCGCAUGAGAAACCAAACCAGGGCCUGUGUCGAAGCUUCAGGCUUCUUUCUUGUCCCAAGAAUAUCAAUGAGAAUAGUUCUCUAGGCAGCACACAACACAACAUUACACAACAUGUAAUCGAAACACAUAGAACACAACAAACAUAUCACAUCACACAACAGCAGCUGUGGCAGGCAGCAUCGCCUCUAAGGUGGUGACUGCUGUUCAUGGGACAUGCUUCAUGCAUGUUACAAGCUACAGUUGGAUUAGGCAAGAAGCGGCAGAAUGGGCAGACAUUUCCCUAGGACCCUCAUGUGCAGUGUUCACGUUCAAAUGCCUUUAUUACGGGCUUUGACCAUCCAACUAGAAAGACAAUAGACGCUAUGAAGAAGGCAAUAGAAUGGCAUAUUAUAUCCUCCGUGGAACAGAACAACACGCUUCAUGCGUGUUAGAAGCUUCAGGCUUCUUGAUUCUCCCUCCCAACAGCUCUUUGUUAGGCUACAUACACUCUAGGAUGGUGGCAGCCUUUAAUGGAAUACGCUUCAUGCAUGUUCCAUUCUGUCCUCUCGACAACGCUUCGUGGCAAAUCUGGCAAGAAGAAACAGAGUCGGCCCAAGUGUCCCAAUGACCUCCGUGCCCGAGUGGUGCUUUCGGACCAUUUUCUCCUCCCACAAGGCCAGCGUGGCAGCUUCCAAGAAAGAACGCAAGGAGAGCACGUCAUACGAGCCAAGAAGAAAUUGAAAGUCCCCAACCUCCCGCAUGAGAAACCAAACCAGGGCCUGUGUCGAAGCUUCAGGCUUCUUUCUUGUCCCAAGAAUAUCAAUGAGAAUAGUUCUCUAGGCAGCACAUAACACAACAUUCCACAACAUGUAAUCGAAACACAUAGAACACAACAAACAUAUCACAUCACACAAUAGCAGCUGUGGCAGGCAGCAUCGCCUCUAAGGUGGUGACUGCUGUUCAUGGGACAUGCUUCAUGCAUGUUACAAGCUACAGUUGGAUUAGGCAAGAAGCGGCAGAAUGGGCAGACAUUUCCCUAGGACCUUCAUGUGCAGUGUUCACGUUCAAAUGCCUUUAUUACGGGCUUUGACCAUCCAACUAGAAAGACAAUAGACGCUAUGAAGAAGGCAAUAGAAUGGCAUAUUAUAUCCUCCGUGGAACAGAACAACACGCUUCAUGCGUGUUAGAAGCUUCACGCUUCUUGAUUCUCCCUCCCAACAGCUCUUUGUUAGGCUACAUACACUCUAGGAUGGUGGCAGCCUUUAAUGGAAUACGCUUCAUGCAUGUUCCAUUCUGUCCUCUCGACAACGCUUCGUGGCAAAUCUGGCAAGAAGAAACAGAGUCGGCCCAAGUGUCUCAAUGACCUCCAUGCCCCAGUGGUGCUUUCGGACCAUUUUCUCCUCCCACAAGGCCAGCGUGGCAGCUUCCAAGAAAGAACGCAAGGAGAGCACGUCAUACGAGCCAAGAAGAAAUUGAAAGUCCCCAACCUCCCGCAUGAGAAACCAAACCAGGGCCUGUGUCGAAGCUUCAGGCUUCUUUCUUGUCCCAAGAAUAUCAAUAAGAAUAGUUCUCUAGGCAGCACACAACACAACAUUACACAACAUGUAAUCGAAACACAUAGAACACAACAAACAUAUCACAUCACACAACAGCAGCUGUGGCAGGCAGCAUCGCCUCUAAGGUGGUGACUGCUGUUCAUGGGACAUGCUUCAUGCAUGUUACAAGCUACAGUUGGAUUAGGCAAGAAGCAGCAGAAUGGGCAGACAUUUCCCUAGGACCUUCAUGUGGAGUGUUCACGUUCAAAUGCCUUUACUACGGGCUUUGACCAUCCAACUAGAAAGACAAUAGACGCUAUGAACAACGCAAUAGAAUGGCAUAUUAUAUCCUCCGUGGAACAGAACAACACGCUUCAUGCGUGUUAGAAGCUUCAGGCUUCUUGAUUCUCCCUCCCAACAGCUCUUUGUUAGGCUACAUACACUCUAGGAUGGUGGCAGCCUUUAAUGGAAUACGCUUCAUGCAUGUUCCAUUCUGUCCUCUCGACAACGCUUCGUGGCAAAUCUGGCAAGAAGAAACAGAGUCGGCCCAAGUGUCUCAAUGACCUCCGUGCCCGAGUGGUGUUUUCGGACCAUUUUCUCCUCCCACACGGCCAGCGUGGCAGGUAAGGCUCAGACUGCACCAAGAAAAAGAACUCUCCAGGUAUAGGAGAUAACCUGUCUUCCUUGGAGGCCUGUCAGCAGAGCCUGAAAGACCCUAGUUCUCAGCCUAGCUUUUAAAGAUAUUUCGUCCUGAUGUCCUCUACUUUUUAAUUGUCAUUUUUAUCUACUAUUGAUUAGUUUUUGAUUUCAACAUUUUUAAUUAUUUUAAAAAAUGUAAACCGCCCUGAGCCACCUUUGGAAGGGCGGCAUAUAAAUCCAAUGAAUAUAUUAAUCACCUGUCGGGGUCAGGGGGGAUCCCUAGCUGAACAAUGCAAUAGAAUGGCAUAUUAUACCAUUGAGGGAACAGAACAACAUGCUUCAUGCGUGUUAGAAGCUUCAGGCUUCUUGAUUCUCCCAACAACUCUACAUACACUCUCAGAUGGUAGCAGCCUUUAAUGGAACACGCUACAUGCAUGUUCCAUUCUGUACUCUCGACAACGCUUCGUGGCAAAUCUGGCAAGAAGAAACAGAGUCGGCCCAUGUGUCUCAAUGAGCUCCGUGCCCGAGUGGUGCUUUCGGACCAUUUUCUCCUCCCAGAAGGCAAGCGUGGCAGGUAAGGCUCAGAGUGGACCAAGAAAAAGAACUCUCCAGGUAUAUGAGAUAACCUUUCUUCCCAGGAGGUCUGUUUGCAGAGCCUUAAAGUCCCUAGUUCUUAGCCUAGCUUUUAUAGAUAUUCAGUUCUGAUGUGCUCUAGUUUUCCAUUGUAAUUUUAUUCUGCUUUUCAUUGGGUUUUGAUUUCUACUGUUUUGCUUUUUCAGCCCCCCCGACCCCCUUCUGGCCAGAGUUCUACGCAGGAUACGCCUACUGUGGGCUGACGUCUUGCUCAUUACUCUGUUUUUUCCCAGGAGGCCGUGGUUUCCUGAACUGCUUCAUCUGUCACCAUAACCUCCUUGGGAGUCACCCACAGAUUACGAUCUUCUCUCCCAAGGCCCAGUGCACCAUCCAAACCCUCCUUGGUUACUUCUAACCAUCUGGAGGCUGAGCGGCCUCUGGUAGGCCAGCACGGGUACUCUAGGAGCGUACUUAAAAACCAUGCUAGCAUCCUGCAGAGUGUCUACAGAGAGAAUCUACCAGUAUUCUUUGAGGACCUUUUUAUGUUUGAUGGCCCGUCACUCCAUUCCCCGGGGCACUGCGACCUUGCGACAUCCCCUACAAUUCCUACAGGAGGGCCUAGAUAAGGGUCUAUGACCAAAUACCCUUAAGAGGCAAGCGGCUUCUUUGUUUACCCUGGUAUCCCGUGGGUCUGCUCAGAUCACCCUGUCCCAACCCCAGGUGCCUUUCGGCUGUCUCCACCAACAGCUCAUCGGUUCCCCACGUGGGAUUUGCAUACCGUCCUCCGUGCCCUUCGGUCUCCCCCGUUUGAAAAAGUUAAAAGCGUUCCUAUUAGAGUUUUAUCGUUCAAGUUGGCUUUCCUUGUGGCGGUGACAUCCGCCAGGCACGUUUCUGAGUUAAGGGCUUUGUUGGUCAACAAGGCAUUCGGCAUCUUCCUAAAAGACUCUGUGAGACCGAUCCCUGAUCCAUUCAUACGCCCUAAGUGCCGUCGACUUCUCACCUCUCACAGGACGUUUUCCUUCCUUCGUUUUGUCCCAAACCGUCUCACCCUAGAGAAAGACAGUGGCACAAACUAGAUGUCCGGUGCUGCCUUAAGGCUUAUAUUAAGAGGUCAGCUUCCUUUAGGGUGUUGGGCACCACGUUCGUUUCCUUUCACCCACGAGCUAGGGGGAUGGCUGUUUCGUCUGCAACAAUCGCUAGAUGGUUAAAGGCCUGUAUUGUUAUGGCUUAUGAGGCGCAACAUCUUAGGUCACCCGCUCGCAUCCUCGCACAUUCAACAAGGACAGCAGCAACUUUGGCGGCCUUCUCAACGAAUGCAACUGUGGAAGAGAGAUGCAGAGCUGCUCCCUGAGCCUCUCUGUCUACUUUUACAAGGCACUAGAAGAUAGAUGGUGAUGCUUCUGCCCGUUCCUCCUUUGGUAGGAGGGUCUUGCAGCAGGUACUUCCUCGACAAUAGGCCAGAGCGCUCCCGGCCGAGUUGGGCAGCUGUGGUAUGUCCCAUGGAGAAGUCCCUGGCAGCUCAGCAACUGAGGAUGGAGCAUUGGUUCACUUACCAUGAAGGCUGCUUCUGGCUGCUGAGAUGCCAGGGAGGACAUCUCGGCCCACCCUGCUAAUUCCGGCGCGCUGGCCUGAUACCGACGAGAUCUCCGCAGCACUAAUCCAGCACCAGUUCGGGGUCCAUCCUGUUCUGGGUGCCUUUUUUUUCCUCUGUACUGAUCCUGUCGUGUUUCUGAUGUCUGUGUUCUUCUGCUAUCUCGGGUAGGCGUGUCUUCUUUUCUUAACCAUUUAGUUUCUGUCCUGCCUUGGAGCUCCUGAGAUGGAGAACCCAUAGAGAUGUCCCGGGCCUCAGCAACCAGAAGAAGCCUUCACGGUAAGUGAACCAAUGCUCCGUUUUUCUUUUUUUAUUUUAAUGUAAACCGAGUCUGAGCCACCUUUGGAAGGGCGGUAUAUAAAUCAAAUAAAUAAAUAAGCGACCAGUGGGGGAAUCCCUAGCUGAAUCACUGCAUUUAGUGAUGAGGUUUUUCAUAAGAUGACUGAAGGAUAUAUUCCCAAAAUGUUUCUUCAAUAUAUAUUAUACAUUAAUAGUCACAAGGUCAUAAACGCAUGAAACAACCAUGAAGAAUAUUCUCAGCUGCUGUGGGAAGACAUCUCGUGUGGGUUAUCAUCUCGAGCUCGCUCCAGAGAGGCAGGACUAUGUAAAUAAGCUACCAAGCCUAUAAAAGACAUCUCGACCCACCUGGGACAUCCAGGCUUCUGGGACUUGUUUUUUUCCUAUUCUGAUAACUGUAUUAAUUACAGCUUGUACUUCUUCCUUUCUAGAAGCUUAGCUUGCCUACUUAAACCAGGAGGGAUUAGGGGUUAGCCUCUCCUCCUGAGGCUUUUAUAGGCUUGGUAGCUUAUUUACAUACAUAGUCCUGCCUCUCUGGAGCGAGCUUGGGAUGAUAACCCACACGAGAUGUCUUCCACAACAGCAGCUAGAAGAAGUCUUCAUGCUUUCAAGAAACAACGAAAGGAGACGGUGUCAUACAAGCCAAGACUAUCCAAUUAGAAAUUAAGGCUCAGAGACAGAGUCUGGACCAAAUAAAGAGAAAACAAAGCAAGAUUUUAAAAAAACAAACUCUUGGAGUUUAGGAGGUAAUUUAACAGACACCAUGCCUUGUUGUAGCAAUGCUUGUUUUCUUUCAUGAGGCUCUUCAGCAGAGGACUGAAGAAUACAUGCAAAAUAUGUAUAGUUAUGGCUGACAACCAGACUAAGUUCCUCAAUAGUAUGGCGUUCCCCUCAGGAGUUACUUUAAAGAGCUACUCCAUUUCAAUAGGGCUUCCAUUGUGUAACUCUGUGUGGAUGUCUGUCAGUAUUCAUUGUGCUUUGAUUUUUGCCAUUUAAUCAACGUGAAACAGCUUUGAAGAGUGUUUUGAUACCACAUGAGAUGUGGUAUUGUGCACACUUAAAAAAAAGACUUCUUCUCUUCCAACAGUUUUCAAGAAAGAGCAGAAGAAGCAAGAACACAGAAGACAAGCCAAUCUGUUCCCAUCUCUUUUGUGAAGUCGCACUCACCAGAGAACUUUAAAAAAUUUGUUUCCUCUAGUUGGGACACAAUUGUGGAAAGUGUAUUGCCCAGGAAAUCUCAGAUGUAAUCUAGCCCACCUCUCAUCUUGUUACAGAAAAAUGCAAUAUUGUUCAAACUUCAGAAUAAAUUACUUAUUCUUUCUCAACAGAGUUCAAGAAAGAGCAAAAGAAGCAGUGACGCAGAAGACAAACGCUAUCUUGAUCCCUUUUCUGAGGAGGCACUUCAUCAGGGAACUAGAGGAUAUAUAGAAAACUGAAAUAUUGAAUAUAAUAAUUUAUUACAUACUGUUUGUCACAAGAGAAUAUAAAAAUGAAACAACUGUGAAGAGUGUAUUACCCAGGAAAUCUUUGGUGGAAUCCUUAGCAAACUGCUCCUGUCUUAACAUAAAAAUGCAAUGUUGCACAAAGUAAAUGAUGUAACUUGUUCGUUCUUUCCCAACAGAUUUCAAGAAAGAACAAAAAGAGGCAACGAACUGUACACAAGCACUGGAAGCAAAACUGCGCUACUAGUUUCGGUGGUGUUUUCAGAUAAGUCUCGAGAGGCUUCAAGUGUGAGUUUCUUUUGCUUUUGGCCCUGCCAGGUAGGUUAGAUGGGAUUGUUCUGGACUGUCUUGAAGGGUUUAUGCCUUAGAGACAGAGAACUUAAGUGAAUGUUCUUUCUUUCUUUCUUUCUUUCCUUCCCAUCCAACAUAGAGCUGCUCGGGGCGAUUUGCAAAGACCUCCUCUAUUAAAUGAAAAACCAAAAACCAUCCACUACUAAAUUCCAAAACACACACACAAAAACCCCACUAUUAAAACAAACACCCUACUAAAUGCAACAAAACCCACUACUAAAUGAAAACCACAACUAAAUGCAACCCCCUCCCCCACUAAUAAAUGCAGAAAAAACCCACAACUCACUACUAAAUGCAAUAAAAUGAAAUAAAACAGCAGGUAAAAAAGACCAAAAAAAUAGCUUUCAUAACUAAGCACUGAUUAAAAUGGGAAACCAAUUACAACCAGUGUUACAUGCUUCUUUAAAAAGGAGAGUUUUCAAAUUCUUUUUAAAAAUGUAUUAAAGCAGGGCGAUUGACUUGUAUGGAAAUCUAGACUGCAGCCUGUAUUUAACUGAGCUAUGCAUUUGUUGAUGUUGGUCCAGGCAAUGUUUGUUCUGUAUUUGACUAACAAUUGAUUACUCCAAGUCGUUCCUUUAAAAAAAAUAAAUUUAGAGUGUUCUAAACUUGGAUUGGAGAAAAAAAUGGGAUUUUUCUUUGUGGACAUUUCCUGACAUGGCUGCUUUGGGUGAGUAUUUGUUCAGUGAAAAAUCGGUGAUGUUUGAAACUAACACAAAUAUUUAACACUUAACACAUGUGCUAAGGAUAUUAAAAAAUGUUCUAUUUUUCAUUUUGAUACAUGAAUUAUUUCAAAAGAUGAAAGAGUUAAACAUUAGCAUGCCCUUAGAUUUUCUUUCCCCCCAGCAGGUUGAUCUAUAUUUACUGCUAUGUGGAUUGUGGGCAAACCUCUAGCUAGGAGGCUAUUGGAAGAAAUUCCGAGUUACACAACUGGCUAACGUCAAAGAGGUGGGUAUUAUGAUUAGUCCGUGUGUGCGCGUGUUCUUUCUUUCAGAUUUUCUUUUUCCCUAGCAGGUUGAUUUUUAAGCACUGCCGUAUAGAUUGUGGUGAAUCCCAACCAGGAGGAGAUCUCAUGAAAUCAGUAAUGUGUUAAACAAACAAAUGAAUAAGUAUAUACUGCAUUUCGACAAAAGUUCCCAAAGUGGUUUACAGAGAGAAAACAAUGGAAAACUAAUAAGAUGGAUCCCUGUCCCCAAAGGGCUCACAGUCAAAAUGGCUAAUGUCAAAGAGGUACGUAUAAACCCAUUUUUUGGUUUUAUUUUUGUACAGAUCUUUUUCUCCAGCAGGUUGAUUUGUCUGUACCGCUCAGUGUUCCGUCUAAGCUGUGUGUGUGUGUGCACGCACUCACACAUUUUUUUGAUGUCCGGUCAGUUAAUUUUAGAUCCCGCUCAGGUUGAAUCUGGCAGGCCGCAUUCUGAAUACACGUGUGCACACACUGCCUGGAUACUGCCACCCAGAACAAAACUCAUUCCACACAAAGAGGAAAAAGAUUAGAGAGAACUCUGGUACCGCUUUGUGGAGAAAUCUCUCUAUCAGUAUUCUAAGGAAUCAGACUUGUCUAAAAAUGGCUAACGUCAAAGAGGUAUGUAUUAAGUCUUAUUUAGACUGAGUUUAUUUCUGCAUAAGGAGGAUGACUCUGUUUAAAUGUGUCCCUUUUGCAGCUUUUCCACUCAAGAGACCUGAGCAGACCUGUUGGAUGCUGUCGCAACUUGGAUGUCGGGACACAGGAGCUGAAGUCCUACUACAGUCCGGGCGAAGUGCUGGUAAUCUCUCCCCUGCAGCCUCCAAAGAAAGGGGAGAGCUGGAAGAAAAGGAUUCCCUGCCAGGAAGGAGCGGCUGUGAUGCUGAUGCUCAGUUCCGUCCCUUGUUAUAGCCUCUGUAUGGUUGUUGGGGGGGGGGGUGUGGGGGGGUGUUUUUUCUUUAUGUGAGCAAUCCUGUGCAUUCAAUACCUCUGUCAAACGUUUGUGUGGAACCCGGGUUCUUUUUGGUUUUGUAUUGUAUUUUAAAGGUCUGGGGAACGAGUGUCCCAGUAAAGAACUCCUCUCA